rnacentral:rRNA from 1 species
UACGUAGGGUGCAAGCGUUGUCCGGAAUUACUGGGUUUAAAGGGUACGUAGGCUGGUAUUUAAGUCUGGAGUGAAAUUUUGUGGCUCAACCAUAAAAGUGCUUUGGAUACUGAAUAUCUAGAGUUAAGUAAAGGCGACUGGAAUUUGAGGUGUAGCGGUGAAAUGCAUAGAUACCUUGAGGAACGUCAAUUGCGAAGGCAGGUCGCUAGGCUUAAACUGACGCUGAUGUACGAAAGCGUGGUUAGCGAACAGG